rnacentral:rRNA from 1 species
AGUGAACGCUGGCGGCGUGCCUAAUACAUGCAAGUCGAACGAAGGGGCGCACGGGUGUGAAAUAUAUAGAUACUCCGCCCCUUACUGGAGGACAACAUGGAGACAUGACUGCUAAUACUCUACAGUAAGGGAUGAGACUAUAUCGUAUCAGCUAGUCGGUGGGGUAUGGGCCUACCGAGGCUAUGCGGCGUAACUGGUCUGAGAGGUUGAUCAGUCACAUUGGAACUGAGACACGGUCCAAACUCCUACGGGAGGCAGCAGUAGGGAAUAUUGCGCAAUGGGGGAAACCCUGACGCAGCAACGCCGCGUGGAGGAUGACACUUUUCGGAGCGUAAACUCCUUUUGUUAGGGAAGCGGUACCUGAUGAAUAAGCACCGGCUAACUCCGUGCCAGCAGCCGCGGUAAUUC